GGUCAAGUUAUUAAGGGCUUACGGUGGAUGCCUUGGCACCAAAAGCCGAUGAAGGGCGCGGUAAGGCUGCGUUAAGCCUCGAUGAGCCGUCUAACGGGCAUAGUCGGGGAUACCCGAAUGGGGAAACCCUAUCCGGUGUUGAGUCGGAUAAUCCUCUUUUUCGAGAGAGGAGGGCAAGUGGGGGAACUGAAACAUCUAAGUACCCCGAGGAAAGUAAAUCAACCGAGAUUCCCUUAGUAGUGGCGAACGAACGGGGAUCAGCCUAAACCAGUAUGACUUAGUGGUAUAAGGGCCUAUGUCGUAUUGGGGUUGCAGGGAUUGCCUAGAGCCCCCUUAUGAGGCUCGAAGGAGUUACAAAUCUUAUCUCUAGUCGAAGGAUCCUGGGAAGGACCGCCACAGAGGGUGACAGCCCCGUAGGCGAAAGGGAUGAGACUCCUGGCGUAUUACCUAAGUACCACGGGGCACGGGAAACCUUGUGGGAAUCUGGGGGGACCACCCUCCAAGGCUAAAUACCCUUGGUCACCGAUAGCGUACCAGUACCGUGAGGGAAAGGUGAAAAGAACCCCUAGCGGGGAGUGAAAUAGAUCUGAAACCGUAAGCCUACAGAAGGUCGUAGUCCUGACUUCGGUCGGGAUGGCGGCGUGCCUAUUGAAGAAUGAUCCGGGGACUUAAUGUAUGGAGCAAGGUUAAGGAACUGUAGUUCCGGAGCCGUAGCGAAAGCGAGUCUGAAUAGGGCGCCAAGUUCCAUGUAUUAGACUCGAAACCGAGUGAGCUACCCAUGGCCAGGUUGAAGGUCCGGUAACACGGACUGGAGGACCGAACUCGUGGCUAGUACAAAAGCUUGGGAUGAGCUGUGGGUAGAGGUGAAAUGCCAAUCGAACUCGGAAAUAGCUAGUUCUCCUCGAAAUGCAUUUAGGUGCAGCCUCGAUCUAUAGGUGGACGGAGGUAGGGCACUGAAUGGGCUAGGGGGCGUGAGCUUACCAAACCCAAUCAAACCACCAAUGCCGUUUAUCCGUUAAUCGGGAGUGAGACCGGCACAGAUAAGUGCGUCGGUCGAAAGGGAAACAGCCCAGACCACCGGCUAAGGCCCCUAAGAAUUGACUAAGUGGGAAAGGAAGUUAGGUUCCCAAAACAACCAGGAGGUUGGCUUAGAAGCAGCCAUCCUUUAAAGAGUGCGUAAUAGCUCACUG
rnacentral:rRNA from 1 species